CCGGACACCUUGACAGGGCGCACCGAUCAAAGCGCCCUGAUCCCAUCCGGCA
rnacentral:ncRNA from 1 species